AUGGCCGUGCCCUUCACCAUGGCCGAACGCGACGGGGCUGAGCACCGGCGCUACUACGACAGGGGGCCAUGGCCUGCGAGCUCACAUGCCAGGGCGGCCAUGGCUUACGAGCUCGAGGCAUGUUACUACAACUCCAGAUUUGCUUCCAUGUUUGUUUUUGCUGGAACCAGUGUACUAAUUUGUUACCACCGUCUUUGUUUUUUGCUGGAACUAACCAAAUUUUGCUGCCAUGUCUUUUUGCUGGAAUCAUUUUGUACCACUUUUUUGCUACAACAGUUUUGGUUUUUUGCUACUACCGGCACUGUUGUUUGUUACAUCCUUUUUCAUGAGAUUGUCGAGACCCUGCGCUUGUGUGUUUUGCUACAACCUUUUACAGUUUUUGCUACAACCUUCUGCAUUUUUUGCUACUACUGGAGAAGCCCUAGCUGGACCACAAGUUAUUUUUGCUACAACCGUUUUGUGGUUUGCUGCAACCAGUGUCAAUUUUUGCUACUACCGCCGACUUCUUUGAUUUUUCUGGAACCAGCGCUCUAUUUUUUAUUUUUGCUACCACUAGCGUUUCGAUUUGCUGGAACAAGCUUCAAUUUUUGCUACCAUCAGGUUUUUGGUUUGUUGGAGCGUCGUCGAUUUUUUCUAAUUUUGCUACCAACGUUUUAUUAA
rnacentral:rRNA from 1 species